AAACAUCGAACGAAGAGUUUGAUCCUGGCUCAGGAUGAACGCUGACAGAAUGCUUAACACAUGCAAGUCGACUCGAGUCUUCGGACUUGGGUGGCGCACGGGUGAGUAAC
rnacentral:rRNA from 1 species